rnacentral:lncRNA from 1 species
UCGAUGGAGAAUUGAGUUUGAAUUUGAUCCUGCAAUCUCUUUCUGAAUCAUUCGCUCAAUUUAUUUUGAAUUAUCGCAUGAAUAAACUGAAUACCUCUUUGCUCGAGCUGUUGAACAUGCUUAAAACAGCUGAGAGCCACAUUAAAAAGGAAAAGGCUCCACUACUUCUUAUGGGUAAAAUCUCUAAGAAGAAAUUAGGUUUUAAGGGUUCAAAGAAAGCAUUGAACUCUAAAGGUGGCA